rnacentral:rRNA from 1 species
GAUGAACGCUGGCGGCGUGCCUAAUACAUGCAAGUCGAGCGAACGGACGAGAAGCUUGCUUCUCUGAUGUUAGCGGCGGACGGGUGAGGAACACGUGGAUAACCUACCUAUAAGACUGGGAUAACUUCGGGAAACCGGAGCUACUACCGGAUGAUAUUUUGAACCUCAUGGUUCAAAAGUGAAAGACGGUCUUUCUGUCACUUAUAGAUUGAUCCGCGCUGCAUUAGCUAGUUGGUAAGGUAACGGCUUAGCAAGGCAACGAUGCAUAGCCGACCUGAGAGGGUGAUCGGCCACACUGGAACUGAGACACGGUCCAGACUCCUACGGGGGGCAGCAGUAGGGAAUCUUCCGCGAUGGGGGAAAGCCUGACGGAGCAACGCCGCGUGAGUGAUGAAGGUCUUCGGAUCGUAAAACUCUGUUAUUCGGGAAGAACAUAUGUGUAAGUAACUGUGCACAUCUUGACGGUACCUAAUCAGAAAGCCACGGCUAACUACGUG